rnacentral:rRNA from 1 species
AUUGAACGCUUGCGGCAUGCCUUACACAUGCAAGUCGAACGGCAGCACGGGUGCUUGCACCUGGUGGCGAGUGGCGAACGGGUGAGUAAUACAUCGGAACGUACCUUAUCGUGGGGGAUAACGCAGCGAAAGCUGUGCUAAUACCGCAUACGCCCUGAGGGGGAAAGCGGGGGAUCGAAAGACCUCGCGCGAUUAGAGCGGCCGAUGCCUGAUUAGCUUGUUGGUGGGGUAAAAGCCCACCAAGGCGACGAUCAGUAGCUGGUCUGAGAGGACGAUCAGCCAAACGGGGACUGAGACACGGCCCAGACUCCUACGGGAGGCAGCAGUGGGGAAUUUUGGACAAUGGGGGCAACCCUGAUCCAGCAAUGCCGCGUGAGUGAAGAAGGCCUUCGGGUUGUAAAGCUCUUUUGUCAGGGAAGAAACACCGGCUCUAACACAGUCCGGGAAUGACGGUACCUGAAGAAUAAGCACCGGCUAACUACGUGCCAGCCGCCGCGGUAA